CUUCUACUAAUGACGGGCUCCGCGUAUUUAGUUAGCCGAUGAAGCCGAAGACGUAACAGAAACGCGAUGCCUUCCUCUUUGGCUUCUCCGUCUCCUCCUCCUCGAACAGCUCACGAUGGCGUCGAUGGUCGAUCCGCGCCUCGUCCUCUCCGUAGCUUCUCUUCUCCUUGUCCUCCUUCUUCCCCUGCCCGCUGCCGAUGUCGAGUGUUGCAAAAAGGGAGCUGAUCAUCCAGUUAAGGUUGGUGGUGUUGAUAUAUCUCCAGAUUCAAUUGCACGGGGAAAGUCAGCUACAUUCACUAUCUCGGCAAACACUGGGUUCAGAUACACUUACACUGAAGCUAACAGAACAUGGGAAGCUGCUGACCUGCAUCAUCUUUGAUUUCAGUAUCGGGUUUGUAUCUGUUGAUGAUAACUGAAUGCAAUCCAAAUGAGUCCUCGAAAGAAUGGAGCUCUCGGGCCCUCAAUUCCAGCUUGGGGAUCUCCAGGGUUCACUUAUGCACGUCAUCAUCUGCAAGAGCAAUCUUUUGUUUCACGUAUUCGAUCCGCAACCAGAUGGAAUCCUCAAUUAAAACGCUUCAUCAUCUGAGCGUCAUGCCAAAGUACGUGACUAGAAUUAUUUUUACAUGUCAAAUGAAAUGCAAUCUAUUCAAGAAAUCUACCAUUUUGUCACCAUUUUCCUCGCACACAUGCUUUCUCUUCUGGUAUGUGUAACAGUAGAAGCCAAAAACAAGUCUUACAUAUUAAAGAAAAAGCCACAUAACUGUCAGAUGGGAAACAUGAGAAAGAAUUUUCUUAAAGUAAGGAAAACAAUUUUGUCACCAUGGUGAAUUCAAACAGGCUCUCACGACUCAUAUGUGCAACAGUAAGAGGCCAAAAACAAGAUUUGCAUAUUAAAGAUAAAAGCCACAAAGCAUUU